CACCGCUCUCAUUCUCUCUCUCUCUCUCUCUCUCUCUCUCUCCCCUCUCCUCUCNUCUCUCUCUCUCUCUCUCUCUCUCUCUCUCUCUCUCUCUCACACAUUAAACCAACGUUACUUUGUUUCAUUAAUGUUAACAUGAGCAGAGUGCGCACUGCACACCAUUCCUGCAACCACCGCCGGUUAUGAAUCCCACAACCGACCAACUACCACCACCGCCACAACAGGCGUUGCCAUUACAGCCACCAAGAUCCUCCUUCAGCUGCGACCGCCAUCCCGAUGAGAACUUUUCUGGAUUCUGUCCAUCAUGUCUCUGCGAACGUCUCACCACUCUAGAUCAAUCAGCUAACGCCACCGCUGCCGCUUCCUCCUCCCGUCGUAAUUCCACCUCCUCCGCCACUGCUGCUGCUCUCAAAUCGAUAUUCAGAGUGCCUUCCUCUUCCAUCACUACCUUCGAAGCCUACAAAAACAAAACAGCAGCUACAGCUACAGCUUCAGGUUCAACCAGAACCUCAUUUUUCCCUGAGCUCCGCCGCACAAAGUCUUUUUCCGCCUCGAAAAACGAAGGAUUAGGAUUCUCUGCCGGCGUUUUCGAGCCUCAGCGGAAAUCUUGCGACGUUAGGGGUCGUAACACGCUCUGGACACUCUUCUCCAUCGACGACGAAAAUAAACCCAGGCAUUCCUCCGCUCAACAACAAGCCCUAGGAAACACUGGGACCCUCCUCGAGACCAACAAAGAAGACGACGAAGAAGAAGAAGAAGAUCAAUUUCACAACGAAGAAAUUGAACUUGCCGAAGAGCAAGACGUGAGUAAUUUUAACGAUCCUGAGAACGACAUUGUGGAAGAAGUGGCUGAAAUUCAAGAAGAAGAAGAAGAAGAAGAGAAUGCAAGUGUGGACGAUUUGAAGACCAUGAAGGAUCACAUAGAUCUCGAUUCGCAGUCUAAAAAACCAUCAUUAUCAAAUUUCUGGUCAGCGGCGUCGGUUCUAAGCAAAAAAUGGCAAAAAUGGAGACGAAAGCAGAAGAAGAGCAGCAUCGACGGCAACGGCGUCCUCUCAUCGUCAACAUUGCCGGUAAAGAAACCGAUGUCGCGUAAGUAUCGAGAGACUCAGUCCGAAAUUGCUGAUUACGGAUUCGGCCGGCGAUCCUGCGACGUUGAUCCCAGAUUUUCACUUGACGCGGGUCGGAUCUCGUUUGAUGAUCCGAGAUACUCCUUCGACGAGCCUAGAGCUUCUUGGGACGGGUAUCUAAUCGGCCGGACUUUCCCACGGCUUCCUCCCAUGGUAGAAGAUGCACCUGUGGUGCAGAUACCACGUUCCGAUAUGCAAAUCUCCGUCGAAGAACCACCGACAAAUGUAGAUCUUCUUGUCCCCGGUGGAUCAAUCCAAACCCGAGAAUAUUACUCUGAUUCUUCCUCCAAGCGCAGGAAAAGCCUCGACAGGUCAAGCUCCAUCCGAAAAAUGG
rnacentral:lncRNA from 1 species